rnacentral:rRNA from 1 species
UACGAAGGGUGCAAACGUUGCUCGGAAUUAUUGGGCGUAAAGCGCACGUAGGCGGCUUUGUAAGUUGGAUGUGAAAGCCCUCGGCUCAACCAAGGAAGUGCAUCCAAAACUACAAAGCUUGAGUUACUUAAAGAGGAUCGCGGAAUUCCCGGUGUAGGAAGGUUCGGAAAUUCGUAGAGUAUCGGGAAGGAAUCACCAGUGGCGAAGGGCGG